rnacentral:rRNA from 1 species
UACGAAGGGGGCUAGCGUUGCUCGGAAUCACUGGGCGUAAAGCGCACGUAGGCGGAUUUUUAAGUCAGGGGUGAAAUCCUGGAGCUCAACUCCAGAACUGCCUUUGAUACUGGGAAUCUCGAGUCCGGGAGAGGUGAGUGGAACUGCGAGUGUAGAGGUGAAAUUCGUAGAUAUUCGCAAGAACACCAGUGGCGAAGGCGGCUCACUGGCCCGGUACUGACGCUGAGGUGCGAAGGCGUGGGGAGCAAACAGG